UGUUCCCUUGUUUCUUUCCAGGAUCUACAGUCUUGGGAUCCAGCCAGUCAUGAUUUUCUCCACCUAGCUUUAAGCCUAUGGGCUUUCAAGGUGUCCUCCCUGCACCAGAAGCCCCUCUGUGCAUUCACCCCAGACUGUGGUUACCAUCGAAGCCAAGGUGGAUACACAGGUGUGGAGCCAAGGUGGGAUCCCUUAUGGCAAUUGAGUCCAAAUGAGCUGGCCUUUUAUCUGAAGAUUUUCCAGUUGAAGGGGCUUACAUAGUGAGCAGCUCACAAGCAGAGGAAGGCAUCUUUUCUGUGUUGCUGACAACACAGAAAUCUUGCCCAAGGGAAUGAACGGUCUAUCAGGCUGAUGUGUGGCUGGAUGCUUGUUUGUGCUUUCCAUGACAUCUGAUCGUGGUUGAUGUCCAGGCCCAGAGAAGGACUGACAGACCUUCUCGGGAAAACCUUCAGUAAGAGGAGCCCACCGCCUCCUGAAGAAACCUAUCGUGAGGGAUCAGAACGGCCCUCCCUGGCCCUUGCUCAGCAACCUGCUGCCCAGCUCUCUACCAUCUGAGCAAUGGAUGCUUGUCUCUGCAUCCACAGGAUAGCCCAGGAUGGCUCCAACCCAAGCUUCCUGUUGAACUUCUCUCCUCCUUACAUUUGCUGUCUCACCUCCCUCACCCAAAACAAUUAUCCCUUCUCUGUCCUAUCUUAAAGAGCACCCAGCAGUGACGAAGCCCUUGACCACCCAACGCCAACCCCCAGCCCCUGCCCUCAGUUCUCACCUGCUGAGUUUACAUAUCAACUCCUAGUUUAAGGAGAUAAGCUACUAGUUCAGGGAGACAAGCUGUACUAGUUCAGAGAGACAAACCCCUAGUUGAGGUAGAAAAGCUCCUGGUAUAGGGAGACUGCUCUUAUUUAUGGAGACCAGCUCCUAGUUAAGGAAGAUCAGCUCUUAGUUUAGGGAGACCAACUCUUGUUUCAGGGAGACAAGAUCCUAGUACAGACGAACAUCUAGUUCAGGGUGACAAGCUCAUACUUCAGAGGAACAAACUACUAGUUUGGGGACACAAACUCUCAGCUAAAGGAGACCAGCCCCUGGUUUAGAGAAACCAGCUCUAACUUUGCAGGGGCAUGUUCCUAGUUCAUGGAGGAAAGCUUCUAGUUCAGGGAGAUAAGUUUCUAGUUCAUAAGACCAGCUCCUAGUUUAAGGAGACCAGCUCUUACUUUAGGGAGACAAGCUCCUAGUUUAGGGAGAUGUUAUGAUUUGUGUCUGGAUGUCCCCCCAAAGCCUCAUGCAGUCAUAGGGUGGGCUAGAGUUUAUGAUUGAUCCAUGGUCCAGUGUUGGAAUUAUGAAUACGAGUGCUACACCUACCCUGAGGCAGAUAGUUUGCAUACAGUGUGAGGGAGGGAAAGAGGCUGCCCACCUGCUCUCCAUUUUGCUCUUGUUGCUUUGCUAUCUUCCGCUGCCAUGAACAGUUGCCCUGUGCCAUGUGCCACUCUGCCUUGGAGCCAGCUGAAUAUGGACUGAAACCUCCACAAACUGUGAGCUAAAUAAACCUUUCCUUCCUUAAUUUUGUUUGUUAGGUAUUUUGUCUCAGCAAUGAGAGAAAAGUAACCAAGACAGGAGAUAAGCACCUAGGUUAGAGAGAUCAGGUCCUAGCUUAGAGAGACAAGCUUCUUGUUUAGGGAGACUAGUUCCAAGUUCAAGGAGACCAGCUCCUAGUUCAGGGAAACCUACUCUAGUAUUAGAAGACAAGCUCCUG
rnacentral:lncRNA from 1 species